rnacentral:tRNA from 1 species
GGGGUCAUAGCUCAGCUGGGAGAGCACCUGCCUUGCAAGCAGGGGGUCGGCGGUUCGAUCCCGCCUGGCUCCA